GUAACAAGGUCUCCGUUGGUGAACCAGCGGAGGGAUCAUUACCGAGUUUACAACUCCCAAACCCCUGUGAACAUACCACUUGUUGCCUCGGCGGAUCAGCCCGCUCCCGGUAAAACGGGACGGCCCGCCAGAGGACCCCUAAACUCUGUUUCUAUAUGUAACUUCUGAGUAAAACCAUAAAUAAAUCAAAACUUUCAACAACGGAUCUCUUGGUUCUGGCAUCGAUGAAGAACGCAGCAAAAUGCGAUAAGUAAUGUGAAUUGCAGAAUUCAGUGAAUCAUCGAAUCUUUGAACGCACAUUGCGCCCGCCAGUAUUCUGGCGGGCAUGCCUGUUCGAGCGUCAUUUCAACCCUCAAGCACAGCUUGGUGUUGGGACUCGCGUUAAUUCGCGUUCCCCAAAUUGAUUGGCGGUCACGUCGAGCUUCCAUAGCGUAGUAGUAAAACCCUCGUUACUGGUAAUCGUCGCGGCCACGCCGUUAAACCCCAACUUCUGAAUGUUGACCUCGGAUCAGGUAGA
rnacentral:rRNA from 1 species